rnacentral:misc_RNA from 1 species
UACAGAGACUUAUUCCGCUUC